rnacentral:misc_RNA from 1 species
CUAAGGAGAAGAAGUCUUUCUCUAUUCUAUUGGUAAUGUUCUUUACAUUACUUCUGAACAUUGGAAACUAUAUAGUAGAACAAACAAGAAAAUAAAAUUAACUCUAACAAUUUCUUAGAGUUAGCUGUCAAAAAAAUA